CUCCCUCUCCUCUCACCACUACCAGUCAUCACCACUGUUUGCCAUCUCCUAUCCCCUCACCACCAACGCCAAGCUCCUACCACUACCAGUCACCACCACCAUGGAGAACGUUGUCUUCGUGCCUGGCCAGCCGAGGAGAACAUCACGAUCGCCGCUUGACCCAGCCAAGGCAGCAGCGUCGCGUCAGAGCCUGUUUGCGUCUCCACCUUUUCGCGACGUCGCUGAUCUUCACCAUCAGCUCCUCUUCCUUCUGGAAAACCAUUGGUUGAACCAAAGGUGAAAAAUAUGAAACUUGACUAUUUGAAUAUGAUUCUAUAAGCAUAAAUAAGACAAUUAGGAGAGGGAAGAUGACAGAAAAGUGAAGAGCAUACUUUGGCUUUGUACUUCUCUUCCUGUGAAACAACAGUAAAUAGAAGUUUUCUUCCGGGCCUUGUCGCAACAUAUGUAACAACCUAAUAUAUUUGAUAUCUGCGAAAACCCUGGUUCCCGAUGGAUACGGAGUCUCCAUUACCCGUCGUGGGGACGGGACAGGGAAGGCGACAGGUUUUAGAGGCGGGGGAGGGGGGGCAUGUCCCUGCCCCCAUGGGAACUCGUUGAGCAUAUCCUUUCUUUGCAUUGAGACAUUGAUAGAGCAGAUUACUCUAGAUUUCUUGAUGUUCACCUUCAUACCAGAAGCUAUACAUAAAUAAUUCAAACUUUGGAGAACAUGAAUAACUCAAGUCCUAGUUGCUUUACAGAAAAGAACAAAAUCAUUAGAAAAUAUCAAAUGAGAUAUAGUCGGACCACUUCUAAAAAUCGUGACAGGGUCCCAAAAUUCUUGCUCCAUUGCUGAGAUAUAUAGCAGCCAAAUCUUUCCAUACAAAUUACAGAUAGGUAAAGAGAUAAAGAGUCACUUUGACGGAGUCCUUUCUUAGGUUAGAAGCUACUCAAUUUAUUACCAUUCCACAUAAUAGAACGAGAAGAUGCACUAAAAAAAUAUUGGGUACUGUCAG